UACAGGGGGUGCAAACGUUGCUCGGAAUCAUUGGGCGUAAAGCGCACGUAGGCGGUCUGUUAUGUCGGAUGUGAAAGCCCUGGGCUCAACCUGGGAAUGGCAGUGGAUACUGGCGAGCUAGAGUGCGGUAGAGGGUAGUGGAAUUCCCGGUGUAGCAGUGAAAUGCGUAGAGAUCGGGAGGAACACCAGUGGCGAAGGCGGCUACCUGGACCAGCACUGACACUGAGGCACGGAAAGCGUGGGGAGCAAACAGGG
rnacentral:rRNA from 1 species